rnacentral:tRNA from 1 species
GCCUCUGUAGCUCAAUGGAAGAGCAAGUCCGUCCUAAGGAUUAGGUUGGGGGUUCGAGUCCCUCCAGGGGCACCC